AGCAGCCGCGGUAAUUCCAGCUCCAAUAGCGUAUAUUAAAGUUGUUGCAGUUAAAAAGCUCGUAGUUGAAUUUCGGGAUUCAUCCGUUGGUCGGGCUUCACGGUCCGUACUGGUGUGAUGGGUUCCUACCUUCUGAAUAACCGGCAUGCCAUUAAUUUGGUGCGCCGGGGAAGCAGAACUAUUACCUUGAAAAAAAUUAGAGUGUACUUAAAGCAGGCAAGUGCCUGAAUAGGUUAGCAUGGAAUAAUAAAAUAGGACGGCAUGGUUCUAUUUUGUUGGUUUCUAGGAUCACCGUAAUGAUUAAUAGGGAUAGGUUGGGGGCAUUAGUAUUCAAUUGUCAGAGGUGAAAUUCUUGGAUUUAUUGAAGACUAACUUCUGCGAAAGCAUUUGCCAAGGAUGUUUUCAUUAAUCAAGAACGAAAGUUAGGGGAUCGAAGACGAUCAGAUACCGUCGUAGUCUUAACCAUAAC
rnacentral:rRNA from 1 species